UACGAAGGGGGCUAGCGUUGCUCGGAAUCACUGGGCGUAAAGCGCACGUAGGCGGAUUGCUAAGUCAGGGGUGAAAUCCUGGAGCUCAACUCCAGAACUGCCUUUGAUACUGGCGACCUUGAGUCCGGGAGAGGUGAGUGGAACUGCGAGUGUAGAGGUGAAAUUCGUAGAUAUUCGCAAGAACACCAGUGGCGAAGGCGGCUCACUGGCCCGGUACUGACGCUGAGGCACGAAAGCGUGGGGAGUAAACAGG
rnacentral:rRNA from 1 species